GGGCGAUUAGCUCAGUUGGUCAGAGCGUCCCGUUCACAUCGGGAAGGUCAUCCGUUCAAAUCGGAUAUCGCCCACAA
rnacentral:tRNA from 1 species